ensembl:misc_RNA 7SK 7SK RNA
GGUAGACAUGAGGAUUAUCUGUGGCAUUUGUCACCCAUUUUGACUUGAAUGGUAAAGCUAGUUAGGUAGGUGUCCUUUUUAUCUCUUACUAUACCAUGUGCAUCUCUCCUGUAUCCAUGUGCCUGAUCUUAAAGGAAGAGCUUCCCUGAAUAGAGGAGGAUGAGUCUUCAGUUGAGAAUAUAUAAAUAGCUUCUCUCCCAUGCUGUAAUCUCCAAAAACGAAGCUCUAGAAGGCUAGGAAACAUAGGAAUACUUAAAUCCCUACAGGCGUCUUCUGAGAGAGCAAUGCAAUGU